rnacentral:tRNA from 1 species
GGUGCAGGUCAGAUGCUUACGGCGCCGUCAGCUCCCCCGGCCUCCGGAGCCGUGUGCGCAGGUUCGAAUCCUGCCGGGG